rnacentral:rRNA from 1 species
UCGGAAUGAGAGACCGGCGCACGGGUGCGUAACGCGUAUGCAAUCUACCUUUUACAGAGGGAUAGCCCAGAGAAAUUUGGAUUAAUACCUCAUAGUAUGUGAGAAUGGCAUCAUUUUCACAUUAAAGUCACAACGGUAAAAGAUGAGCAUGCGUCCCAUUAGCUAGUUGGUAAGGUAACGGCUUACCAAGGCUACGAUGGGUAGGGGUCCUGAGAGGGAGAUCCCCCACACUGGUACUGAGACACGGACCAGACUCCUACGGGAGGCAGCAGUGAGGAAUAUUGGACAAUGGGCGCAAGCCUGAUCCAGCCAUGCCGCGUGCAGGAUGACGGUCCUAUGGAUUGUAAACUGCUUUUGCACAGGAAGAAACAACGCUACGUGUAGCGUCUUGACGGUACUGUGAGAAUAAGGAUCGGCUAACUCCGUGCCAGCAGCCGCGGUAAUACGGAGGAUCCAAGCGUUAUCCGGAAUCAUUGGGUUUAAAGGGUCCGUAGGCGGUUUGGUAAGUCAGUGGUGAAAGCCCAUCGCUCAACGGUGGAACGGCCAUUGAUACUGCCAGACUUGAAUUAUUAGGAAGUAACUAGAAUAUGUAGUGUAGCGGUGAAAUGCUUAGAGAUUACAUGGAAUACCAAUUGCGAAGGCAGGUUACUACUAAUGGAUUGACGCUGAUGGACGAAAGCGUGGGUAGCGAACA